rnacentral:rRNA from 1 species
UAACGUCGCAAGACCAAAGAGGGGGACCUUCGGGCCUCUUGCCAUCAGAUGUGCCCAGAUGGGAUUAGCUUGUUGGUGAGGUAACGGCUCACCAAGGCGACGAUCCCUAGCUGGUCUGAGAGGAUGACCAGCCACACUGGAACUGAGACACGGUCCAGACUCCUACGGGAGGCAGCAGUGGGGAAUAUUGCACAAUGGGCGCAAGCCUGAUGCAGCCAUGCCGCGUGUAUGAAGAAGGCCUUCGGGUUGUAAAGUACUUUCAGCGGGGAGGAAGGUGUUGUGGUUAAUAACCACAGCAAUUGACGUUACCCGCAGAAGAAGCACCGGCUAACUCCGUGCCAGCAGCCGCGGUAAUACGGAGGGUGCAAGCGUUAAUCGGAAUUACUGGGCGUAAAGCGCACGCAGGCGGUCUGUCAAGUCGGAUGUGAAAUCCCCGGGCUCAACCUGGGAACUGCAUUCGAAACUGGCAGGCUUGAGUCUUGUAGAGGGGGGUAGAAUUCCAGGUGUAGCGGUGAAAUGCGUAGAGAUCUGGAGGAAUACCGGUGGCGAAGGCGGCCCCCUGGACAAAGACUGACGCUCAGGUGCGAAAGCGUGGGGAGCAAACAGGAUUAGAUACCCUGGUAGUCCACGCCGUAAACGAUGUCUACUUGGAGGUUGUGCCCUUGAGGCGUGGCUUCCGGAGCUAACGCGUUAAGUAGACCGCCUGGGGAGUACGGCCGCAAGGUUAAAACUCAAAUGAAUUGACGGGGGCCCGCACAAGCGGUGGAGCAUGUGGUUUAAUUCGAUGCAACGCGAAGAACCUUACCUGGUCUUGACAUCCACAGAACUUUCCAGAGAUGGAUUGGUGCCUUCGGGAACUGUGAGACAGGUGCUGCAUGGCUGUCGUCAGCUCGUGUUGUGAAAUGUUGGGUUAAGUCCCGCAACGAGCGCAAC